rnacentral:rRNA from 1 species
GACAGAGGGUGCAAGCGUUGUUCGGAAUCAUUGGGCGUAAAGGGCGCGUAGGCGGUUUUGUAAGUCGGAUGUGAAAGCCCAGGGCUCAACCUUGGAAGUGCAUCCGAAACUGCAGAACUCGAAUCCCGGAGAGGGUGGUGGAAUUCCCAGUGUAGAGGUGAAAUUCGUAGAUAUUGGGAGGAACACCGGUGGCGAAGGCGACCGCCUGGACGGAGAUUGACGCUGAGGCGCGAGAGCGUGGGGAGCAAACAGG